rnacentral:lncRNA from 1 species
UUCCUAGAAUAAACCCAUAUAAGAGAAUUCGAACAAAGGGAAAGACUAAGCGCAUGAGUUUCACUUGUUAGAAUCACACAAUUAACUGUAUUCCGAACCACUAAAACACUAAGAAAUACUACAAUGCUUCCUUCUAGUAACAAUACUCCUUCAUCAACUGAUAACCACAAUAUGCAACCCUGCACUCUCAAAAGACCGCUCAAAAUUCAAUAAAUUCCAUCCAAUACUAGGAAUAACAAACUUCACUCCAACCAAUCUGAAUUCAUAGAAUUCUUGUAAUCACAGACUUCUUUUAUUGAAAUACACACACACAACUCUCAAUAAACAACAAUUAUAAUCUCCCAUCUAUAAUCAAUCUUCCAAUAACUUCUAUUAUAAUUCAAUCAUUCAGUACUCCAAUUACAUAAUCAAUAAUUUAUAAAUCAAUCUCUGAUUUAUUCCACAGACUCACUUCUCAGUAUUCAAAAACUA